GCGCGGUUAGUUUAGUGGUAAAACUCUCCUCCCCCAAAGGAGUGUCCCGGGUUCGAUCCCCGGAUCGCGCA
rnacentral:tRNA from 4 species